CCUCCUGAGACUCAGCGAAGUUGAAAUGUUUGUGAUGAUGCAAUCUCCCCGCGGAAAGACGGAAAGACCCCAUGAACCUUUACUGUAGCUUUGUAUUGGACUUUGAACGGAUCUGUGUAGGAUAGGUGGGAGGCUUUGAAGUGCGGUCGCUAGAUCGCAUGGAGCCGACGUUGAAAUACCACCCUGGUGCGUUUGAGGUUCUAACCUGGAUCCAUUAUCUGGAUCGGGGACAGUGCAUGGUAGGCAGUUUGACUGGGGCGGUCUCCUCCCAAAGCGUAACGGAGGAGUUCGAAGGUACGCUAGUUACGGUCGGACAUCGUGACGAUAGUGCAAUGGCAUAAGCGUGCUUAACUGCGAGACUGACAAGUCGAGCAGAUGCGAAAGCAGGACAUAGUGAUCCGGUGGUUCUGUAUGGAAGGGCCAUCGCUCAACGGAUAAAAGGUACUCUGGGGAUAACAGGCUGAUACCGCCCAAGAGUUCAUAUCGACGGCGGUGUUUGGCACCUCGAUGUCGGCUCAUCUCAUCCUGGGGCUGUAGUCGGUCCCAAGGGUAUGGCUGUUCGCCAUUUAAAGAGGUACGUGAGCUGGGUUUAAAACGUCGUGAGACAGUUUGGUCCCUAUCUUCCGUGGGCGCUGCAGAUUUGAGGAAGCCUGCUCCUAGUACGAGAGGACCGGAGUGGACAC
rnacentral:rRNA from 1 species